CCUACGGGUGGCAGCAGUGGGGAAUAUUGCGCAAUGGGCGCAAGCCUGACCCAGCAACGCCGCGUGAAGGAAGAAGGCUUUCGGGUUGUAAACUUCUUUUGUCAGGGACGAAGCAAGUGACGGUACCUGCCGAAUAAGCCACGGCUAACUACGUGCCAGCAGCCGCGGUAAUACGUGGGUGGCAAGCGUUAUACGUAUUUACUGGGGUUAAUGGGUGCGCUGGCGGAUUUUUAAGUCAGCGGUCAAAUCGUGGGGCUCAACCGCGUCCAGCCGUUGAAACUGGGGAUCUAGAGUGUGCGAGAGGUAGGCGGAAUGCGUGGUGUAGCGGUGAAAUGCAUAGAGAUCAGGCAGAACCCCGAUGGCGAAGGCAGCAUACCGGUGAAAGACUGACGCUCAGGCACGAAAGCGUGGGGAGCGAACAGGAUUAGAUACCCUUGUAGUC
rnacentral:rRNA from 1 species